CAUGUAUGUGCACGUGACUGAAAAAGUUGGUGGGACUGCUUCAGUGGGCAAAGGUGAUUGCCACCAAACCCGAUGGCCGGAUCCCCGGGACCUGCAUGGUCUAAGAGAACCAGUCUCUUCUUACAAGCUGUCCACUGGCCUCCACGUGUGUCCUGUGCAUGUAUGCAUGCACACAAGCACACAUUAGGUCAUACAUGAUGCCAUAAUUACACGGAGUAAAAUGAACUAUUUCAUUCAAGAUGACCCUCCAGUCAUGAGGAAGAAUCAAGUAAGACCUUAGGAGUCAAAAUGGACAAAUGUAAGGCAUUUCACUCUCAAAAUUCCAAUAGAGAGAUAAAGGCACUGCAGUUAGGAAAAUAACCCACAAUAUUAAAAAAAAUAUUGAAAAUAA